CAUGUUUCUACGACCUGUAAUAUAACUGUUUCUACGACCUGUAAUAUAACUGUUUCUACGACCUGUAAUAUAACUGUUUCUACGACCUGUAAUAUAACUGUUUCUACGACCUGUAAUAUAACUGUUUCUACGACCUGUAAUAUAACUGUUUCUACGACCUGUAAUAUAACUGUUUCUACGACCUGUAAUAUAACUGUUUCUACGACCUGUAAUAUAACUGUUUCUACGACCUGUAAUAUAACUGUUUNNNNNNNNNNCUGGUAUGGAGAGCUCCGUGGACUGGUAUGGAGCGCUCCGUGGACUAGACUGGAAUGGUAUGGAGCGCUCCGUGGACUGGACUGGUAUGGAGCGCUCCGUGGACUGGACUGGUAUGGAGCGCUCCGUGGACUGGACUGGUAUGGAGCGCUCCGUGGACUGGACUGGUAUGGAGCGCUCCGUGGACUGGACUGGUAUGGAGCGCUCCGUGGACUGGACUGGUAUGGAGCGCUCCGUGGACUGGACUGGUAUGGAGCGCUCUGUGGACUGGACGGGUAUGGAGCGCUCCGUGGACUAGACGGGUAUGGAGCGCUCCGUGGACUAGACUGGUAUGGAGCGCUCCGUGGACUAGACUGGUAUGGAGCGCUCCGUAGACUGGUAUGGAGCGCUCCGUGGACUAGACUGGACUGGUAUGGAGAGCUCCGUGGACUGGUAUGGAGCGCUCCGUGGACUGGACUGGUAUGGAGAGCUCCGUGGACUAGACUGGUAUGUUGUGUAUAGGGUACGCCAUAGACUGGUAUGGAGCACUCUGUGGACUAGACUGGUAUGGAGAGCUCCGUGGAAUAGACUGGUAUGUUUUGUAUAGGGUACACCAUAGACUGGUAUGUUGUGUAUAGGGUACACCAUAGACUGGUAUGUUGUGUAUAGGGUACACCAUAGACUGGUAUGUUGUGUAUAGGGUACACCAUAGACUGGUAUGUUGUGUAUAGGGUACGCCAUAGACUGCAUGCUUCAACAGUUUGACAUUUCACCCGUUUUCCUUUUGAGCUUUGCCUUUCCUUCAGAUGUGGUUGUUUUAUCAUAUUUAGGGACAUCCUUAAAUGGUUGUUUUUCCUGUGUUUUAUAUUGUACAACAGACGAUGACACUAACACCGUGUAAAUGUGAUCAGUGGUGAUAGUUGCUGGUUGAAAAUACAAGGACCUUCUAAUCAGUACAUUUGCAUGAGCAGAGUUUUGGCUUUCCGUGGUGACAUCACCAUGCUGUAUAGACCAAUAACAAAGAGUUCCAAUCCUCUGCUAAUAACAGCUAGUUCAAACAUUCUUGAGUUUUUUGCUAAAAAGCUAUUUGUUCCCAUUUUAAUGGAAAUCUAUUACAGUAAGGUACUUAACUGUUACUCAGAAAGGAUUUGAUAUUGAUGUAAAAACGUCUGCAUUCAGCCUUUAACAUGGACCUCCACUCUGAAGGUGUUGAAUAUUUUGUUGUGUGUGGACAGGGCCGGCCUUGCCUUUUUAGGGCCCUAACCUAAAACAUAUUUUUUUUGGGGGGGGGGACACCGAAGACAAACAGUUUUACACUUGAUUUCCUGCAAUUCUACUUAUUUUGCCAUGGGGCUGCAAUUAAAUUAGCAGUUUCAUAGCUAAUUUCCUGAAAUUCUACACAUUUUGCCAUGAUAUGCAACGUUAAAAUGACGUUGAGUGACUAAGAAAAUCAAUUGGGGCCCACUGGAGGUUUGUGCUCCUGGGUGCGUGCCCGGUCGGUAAUUCAACCAUGAUCACGAAUUUACCAAUCUAAAACAAUGUUAGCUGACAUGGGCUAAUAGAGUGACUGACUCACAACCACAUUUAGAAGUUGCACCUUGUGUAUUCUAAAUCUCAACAGUAAGUUUUGACCCUGACUGAGGUCCAAUGUUUUUGGUUGUGGGGCCCGGGCCCUAAGCAGUCCCUUCUGUUGCUUUAUGCCUAGGGCCGGCCCUGUGUGGAAGUCAUUCUUAACCAGAGGUUUCACUGUUUAACUCAUUAACUGAAGUGAUAACAAGUGUUUGACGGUAUUGUGGUGGAAAUUAAACCGAGAAAUAUUGUUACAUAUUGCAAGGUAGUGUUUUUAUAUUUGGGUCACUAGUGCAAUAACAAUAGGGUCAAUCUCCACAUGUUUGCAGUAAUGCAAUGAAAUACUUCAUUUUGUAUUUGUUCGGUACUGAUGAGAGCAAUAACAAAAAUUGAUACGCAAAUAUAGUUUUAGUUUAUCUUUGAAGGACAAACUGAUCGUGGUAUAUAUAUAUAUUUUUUAAAGAAGUCAAAUUGGACAAAAUGCAGAGCACUAACUUUAAACCUUCUGUACUUUUUCUAAUUCUGUCUGUGACCUCGGCAAGUGUUAUAUUAUGCACAAAGACUAUAUUCAACUGUAUGUAAUGUGAAGGGCACGUCCCAAAUGGCAUCCUUUUCCUUAUAUAGUGCACCACUAUGGCUCAAAAUAAGUGCACUAAUUAGGGAGCCAUUUUGGACACAAAUGAUUUUAAAUAGUGGGGGACUGAUGAUGUGUGACUGCUGCAUGUGACCGAGGCUGGGAUUCAAAUCCGACCGGGUUAAAGGCCCCUCAAAGGGCAGGAGACCACGUUCACAUGUUGGCCCAAUCAGAAAUCACCUUUUAAAUGGCGCGUUGCCGACCAAAGAGCCAUGGAUUGAAUCCCGGCCCACCUCCUUGUUCUACUGUCUUCAGAACCAACCGAACAGGGAGAGACAACUUGGACAAUAAACUCUUUCGGUUUCUAUUUAAAACAUUUCCCCUGUGUGUCCUAAUGAACACUACCCUACACUAUGUAUCCUAAAUGGCAGCCUAUUCCCUAGAAAGUGCACUACCCCUAUGGGCCCUGGUCUAAAGUAGUGCACUACCCCUAUGGGCCCUGGUCUAUUGCAGUGCUCUACCCCUAUGGGCCCUGGUCUAAAGUAGUUCACUGCCCCUAUGGGCCCUGGUCUAAAGUAGUGCACUACCCCUAUGGGCCCUGGUCUAAAGUAAUGCACUAGAAAAUGAAUUGGUCCCAUUUAGAGUGCAGACUGUAGCCAUUUUAACAUGAUUCCCUGUGACCCCCAGUCGAUCAUAGACACAAAC
rnacentral:lncRNA from 13 species